rnacentral:ncRNA from 3 species
CGGGGCAGCUCAGUACAGGAUG